AAGAAUAAGAGUGAUACCAUUUACAUACGAACAUGGUGCCAACCUAACAAGACUUAGAAAUUAUAAAAGUGCGUGAAUGUACGCUAGUCGAAAACCAGGUUAAGGGGUACAUGUGCAAACUUACUUGAGGUUCAUGUGCACAUAUGUGGGCCGCGUAAAGAAAUACUACACAUUCAAUUAUGGCGCUGAAAGGAGAAGGAAGGCUGGAACGCCAAGGUUGAG